rnacentral:rRNA from 1 species
GAUGAACGCUGGCGGCGUGCCUAAUACAUGCCAGUCGAGCGAACGGACGAGAAGCUUGCUUCUCUGAUGUUAGCGGCGGACGGGUGAGUAACACGUGGAUAACCUACCUAUAAGACUGGGAUAACUUCGGGAAACCGUAGCUAAUACCGGAUAAUAUUUUGAACCGCAUGGUUCAAAAGUGAAAGACGGUCUUGCUGUCACUUAUAGAUGGAUCCGCGCUGCAUUAGCUAGUUGGUAAGGUAACGGCUUACCAAGGCAACGAUGCAUAGCCGACCUGAGAGGGUGAUCGGCCACACUGGAACUGAGACACGGUCCAGACUCCUACGGGAGGCAGCAGUAAGGAAUCUUCCGCAAUGGGCGAAAGCCUGACGGAGCAACGCCGCGUGAGUGAUGAAGGUCUUCGGAUCGUAAAACUCUGUUAUUAGGGAAGAACAUAUGUGUAAGUAACUGUGCACAUCUUGACGGUACCUAAUCAGAAAGCCACGGCUAACUACGUG